UCGUGGAUUAAUUUGUCUGGUUAAUUCCGUUAACGAACGAGACUUUGACUUACUAGUUAGAAUUUUUCAUUCAUGAAAAAUUACUUCUAGAAGGACCAUGUGUUCCUAACACAAGGAGGCGCGAAGCAAUAACA
rnacentral:rRNA from 1 species